rnacentral:misc_RNA from 1 species
AUACGUAAUGUGCAGAAUUCAGCGAACCAUCGAAUCUUUGAACGCACAUUGCGCCCGCCAGCAUUCUGGCGGGCAUGCCUGUCCGAGCGUCAUUUCCCCCCUCACGCGCCCCGUUGCGCGCUGGUGUUGGGGCGCCCUCCGCCUGGCGGGGGGCCCCCGAAAGCGAGUGGCGGGCCCUGUGGAAGGCUCCGAGCGCAGUACCGAACGCAUGUUCUCCCCUCGCUCCGGACGCCCCCCAGGCGCCCUGCCGUGAAAACGCGCAUGACGCGCAGCUCUUUUUACAAGGUUGACCUCGGAUCAGGUAGGACUACCCGCUGAACUUAAGCAUAUCAAUAAGCGGAGGAAU